rnacentral:lncRNA from 1 species
ACAUUUAUAAAUUCCUUAUCAAUGAUCCCUUGAGAAAUAUUAUAAAAGGACUAGCAUAUAAGCUUAUUGAUUAAAAUAUAAUCACCUCAUAUAAGAUAAUAAAAUUAAUUCCUUUUUGCUCCAAUUUGAUCUCCAUGAAUCACAAAGCAUUAUUCUUAGCUUUUUUUGUCAUAAUCCUCUGUCUAUUCUCAGCAACCUCUAGAAGAUUGACAGGUGUAGUAUUAAUCCCUUGAUUGUAAUGUUGUAUAGGGACGGAGCUAGAUAAAAUCGAGAAGGUUUUUUAGUAGAAAAUUAUAUUUUUUAUAUAUAGUUUAACUUAUUACUUUUUACGUAUAUAUAGAAGAUGUUAAACCUUCAUUGACUUCUUAUUUUGUGUUUCUAUUUCUUUAUAUUAAUGAAAAUUCUGACUUCAUCAUUCGUAAUAUAAUUGUACCAUUAGUUUCUUAUUUUAUACUAAAUUUUUUAUUUUUAUAACAAUAACUUCAUUUAAAAUAUAUUUCAUGUUUAAAUCAUUUUUUGUUUUGUAGGAAAAGUAUAAUAAAACAAGCUAAGUAUUAUUUAUAAAAAUUAAAAUUAAACAUAGCUUCAUCUUCAACUUAAAAUUUUUCAAAUAAAGUGAAAAGUAUUUGCAAUAAUACGUAGUAGCUAGUAUAUAAGAUCUAAUACUAUCUAUUUUGAGAUUUUACUCUUUUAUAUGUUUCAGAUAAAUUAAUCAAAUUGGGUGAUUUUACUAGCUUCUCGAAAGACAUAAUAUAUUAGCAUGCUCUUUAACUUGAGUCCGGAGCCUAAAGGGCAAAAAAAAUGGUAAAAAAUUCCAAAAGGGCACAUCACUUUUUAUUUUAGCCAAAAGGGCAAAAUCGCUGCGUUAUAUUAUUUUAUUUAUCUCAAUUUAUUUGAUAUAGUUUAUGAUAUGCAAAGGUUAUAGGAAAAAAAAAUUAAAUUAUUGUGUAUGUUACUUCACGGACUGAUUAGUUGACAUAUCCAGUGGCCCAACCCAUUAAAUUUUGGACGAGUUGGAAGGGUUAUAUAUUUCAAAUUGCAAAAAACAUGGUAUGAUCGAUGAGAGAUGGUAAUCUUUGUUGGUUUUGAAAUACAUAAUUUAAUCUGUAUGACCUAAUUUUUAAAAUAACCUUAUUUUGAAACGUAUUUUUAUGUGAAAAAAUUAUUUUUGAACAAGCACUUUUGGUGAGGAGCUAUUUGUUUUGGCCAAUUAGUAUUUGAUCGAAUUUCUAAAAGAUGUUUUUGUAUAUAUUUUCUCAAAAGUAUUUCUCAUAAUUUUAUUUUAUUUUAAGUAAAUUACUUUAUUUAUCGAAUAUGCAUCGCACAAGGAGUCACUAACAAAUGGUGUCUAGAUGUACACUAUCAAAAUUUGAAGUGUUUACUUAUCAACUGACAAUUGUAAUCAACUUUAUAUGUUUAUUUAGGUAUUAUACCUAAAAAUUAUAUACAUUAACGAUUUAUAUAAUUUAUGUUUUUUUAAAGAUUACAGAUCCAUUAUUUACACCAUUUCUUCUUUACAUGUUUGCAGCUCCUGGAGCAUGAACAGAGAUUGAGAAACAAAAAAGUUAUAUUGAGCAAGAACUUUAUAAUGAACAGAGAUUGAGUAACAAAAAAGUUAUAUUGAGCAAGAACUUUAUAUUAUAUUUAUAUAUGUUUAAUUAAAUAUGUUUUUUGAGUUGGACAAUUGUAUGUUUGGAUCUCCAUGAAAGAUCUUCAAUGGAGUUAAGGUAAUAAUAAAGAAUACUUAUGUUUGAUUUUUUGGUUAUAAAGACAUUUUAUAUAUAUCAAAGUAGGGAAUUUAUGAAUAGCAGCUAAGCAACUACACAUGAGUUAUAAUUCCAGGAUAAUAAUCAAGUUUCGCGGUCUGACUAGUUAACUUUGCCUUCAAGCUACCUCGCAUCACCACCAUCUGAAUAAUUUGUCUUGAGAGAACCAAAAAUUUCUCUUCUUGGUCUAAAAGACUCGAUUGCUCCUUUCGUGCCAUAUCGUAUAUAUUGUACCAGCUACAGUGAUUCUAAAUAGUUCAGCAUGUGCAUUCUUCCCAUUAAAGAAUACUUAUGUUAAUUAAGUUGAAUUAUGCUUGCACUUUGUAAUUAGUAAGGAAUUAAUACUUAUGUUAAUUAGGGAUAUUUAGCACUUUUAGUCCUUCAAAUAAUUCGUAAAUUUUGAUCUAGGACCUUUUGAUUUUUUGUAUAAGCAUGUUUAGUCUUCAAUUUAAUGGUAUUGCACACUUUUGAUCCCUCCGGUUGUGAGUUUAACAAAUUAUUUAAUGUUGAAUCAUUCAAUUAGUGGGACCGACAGCACACAUUUUAAUUAGUUAAUUGAAAGUUAUAAUGUGCUUGACAAAAUAUUAAUAACACAAGUUUUAGUUAAUCCUAUUUUAUAUAUUCCAACCACAUAUUACCGACUUCAGCUAACAAAAAUUGUCAAAUCCCACGAGUAAGAUCUGAACAGGAUUGGUUAUACAUAAAUCUUACUUCUAUUUAUGUGAGAUAUAAAAAAUUAAAGGCUACUUAUGAUAGUCGCUCAGCUGAAGAAAAAAAAAGGUAAAUAUUAGCUCCAUGUAAUAUAACUACAAUCAUUCAAUUUUAAUCACCAAUAGUUAAUGUCCAUUGAGUUUAAGCCCUAUGCUCAAGUAUUGAGUUGGUGAGAGAAGGAGAGACGCAAGUAAGAUUCUCAUAUAUAUACAAAUCACACUAAAUAUAUAUAUAUAUAUAUAUAUAUCUGGAAUAUCAUAUAUAAGGAGAGUGGAGAACACACUAUAAGAAAAGUGUGAAUUACAUGAGGAUUUUCCUGUGGAUUAGUAUGAAAAUUUUGCAGGAAAAUAAGUUUAAUUUCCUACGGAUUUUCAUAUUAAUCCCCAGGAAAAUUCUCAUGUAAUUCACACUGUUCUUGUAGUGGUAGCCAGCGAGAUACGAGAGGCGAGUGAGAGAGUCACUUGGAUACAUUGUAUCUAAAACAAAUUACACAUAAUUUUGACCAUCUGGAUGCACCAUAUACAUGUAUCCGAAGAACAAAAUUUGGUAAGACUCAUAAUAUUGCAAACUAGCAUGAAUCUAAGUAAUUAGCUCCUAAACUAGUGAGAUUUCACAAAUAGUCAAUUACAUACAUAUUAUUACCUUAAUUUAUUAUUUAAUCAUGAUAAAUUAUUUAAAUUGAUGUGAACAUUUCAUGCGCGUAAAGACUAAUCUACUGACUGGUGAGACUAUAUAUAAUAAAAAUAAAUUAGCUACUUCUCGACUUGGAAAAAACUUAGCACAUGAAAAGUGGACCAAAAGAAGUUUCAUUUAUGUCAAUCCAAUUCAAGCCCUAAAAAAAAAUAAAAAAUCAUAAAAAUAGUCUUUAACAACAAUAAAUAUGUGCAUUAAUAAAGAGAGGUAAAUCUUUUACUGGCAUUAGUUAAUUGUCAUUGGAUCAAAUGUCGCUAUAAGCUUUAGGGACAUUUAUAAAGAGUGUAAAUAAUUGCCUUGCGGCAAUUAAACUAUUACUGUUAAUUAAUUAUUGUUAAAGACCAUUUGAGUCAGACACAAGUUCCAUUUCUUAACAUACAGAGAUUUUAGUAGCUCGAUUGAUUUGCUACUUAAAAGUAUUUUUACAAAUUGAUUAGUCAUACACAAAUAUAACCUCUCACAAAAAAUAAAACAUUUUUCAAAAUAAAUUAAUUUUAGAAAGUUGACCAAACAAACUUAUUCAAGACCGAAAACAUCAUAGUCAUCAACAGAGGACUUGACCAAGUAAAAUAUUAUAAAUUAAAUAUCAUUUUCUCAUCUGAUUUAUAAAAUAUAUAUACAAUAUAUAGUGUAUGGUAUUUAUUUUAUACUAAACAUGUAUACAUAUUCGUAUAUCGAAGUAUAUAUAUAGUAUACAUAUCAUAUACAUAAUAUAUAUAGUACAUAUACAACGAAAAUAUAAAAAUAAUACAUAUUUUAAUCAUAUCGAUAAACUAGUUAGCGAAGGAUAUGUAAGUUUCCUAUAAAUGUUAGCCCAAGCCUCCCACCCCCCACCCCCCCAAAAAAAUGGAGGUGAUUUUUUUUUCAACAAUAAAGGGUCCACAAAUUUAUGAAUUCCUUAUGAAUGUUCCCUUGAGAAAUAUUAUAAAAGGACUAGCAUAUAAGCUUGUUGAUAAAAAUAUAAUCAUCUCAUAGAAGAUAAUUAAUUCCUUUUUGCUCCAAUUUGAUCUCCAUGAAUUACAAAGCAUUAUUCUUAGUCUUGUUUUAUCAUAAUCCUCUGUUCAUCCUCAGCAACCUCUAGGAGAUUGCCAGGUGUAGUAUUAAUCCCUUUAUUGUAAUGUAAUAUACAUGGACGGAGCUAGAUAAGUUCGAGAGGUUCAUCCUAACUCUCUUUAGUAGAAAAUAAUAUUGUUUAUAUAUAGUUAAAAUUAUUAUUUUAAAAGUAUAUAUAGUAGAUGUUGAAUCCCUAUUGACUUCUUAUUUCGUGUGUUUAUUUCUUCAUAUUAAUGAAAAUUCUGACUGCGUCAUUCAUAAUUUAACGUUACCACUUAAUAUUUUUUAUGUACAUAUAGUAGAUGUUAAACCCCUCACUGACUUCUUAAUUCGUAUGCUUAUUUCUUUAUAUAUACUUGUUUGGCUAUUAGAAUUAUUCAUGUUUUUUUCUUUAAAAAAAGUCACUUUAUUUGAAAAUCAGUGUUUGGUCAUGAAAAUUUCAAACUCACUUAAAGUAGUAUUUGAAAUUUGAAAAACACUCAAAAUCUUAUUUUCCUUUUCACAAUAGUAGACGUUUGACCAUUUUCAGUGUGAAAAUAGAAAAAAAUAAUUUUUAUUUUCAAAAUGAAAAAUGAUAUAUGGUUGUGUUUGACCAUGGAAUAAAUUAUAGGUGGUUUUUUGAAUUUUUGUGAUUAAUUUAGAGCGAAAAAGUGAAUUUGUUGUGUUUGAAAAUUCUGAAAUCCCUGAAAAAAGUUAAAAUACUUUCUUUUUUUCAGAAUUUUAUGGCUAAACAUAUUUAUUGGAGUUCGUAAAAAAUUUCAUGGCCAAACACCUACAUAAAAACAACUAAAUACUAUUUACUAAAAUUAUAACUAAUCACAGCACCAUCUUCAACUUCAACUUAAAAAGUUUCAAAUAAAGUGAAAAGUAUUUGAAAUAGUACAUAAUAGCUCAUAUAUGUUUCAGGUAAAUUAAUCAAAUUGAGUGAUUUUGCUAGUUUUUAGAAAGGCAUACACAUUAACAUGCCUUUUAACUUGGCCUCAGCUAACAUUUAUGCUCUCCAACUUUGAGUGUACAUUACACAACUCAAACUUUAAGAUUUCCAAAUAAAAAUAAUUUUUUAAAAAGCUCAUAGCCAAGGGCCCACUACUAGUAUUUUGAUUUUUAACCUUAAUUAUUAGUAUUAUUUUUCCAAAUUUAAAUGUUACUUGUAUGAUGUAUAACUUAAUUCCUCUUUAACUAUAGGUUAUAGAUGCAAUGACUAUAAAUUUCGAGAAGAAUCGUGUUCACCACGUAGAUCCCUCUACCUUAGAGAUUUUGAGGAACCAAUCCAAGCACCAGAUUCAAUAUCGCCACCUG